rnacentral:lncRNA from 1 species
UCAAAAAUGAAAUAACUGAAUUUUAUACAACUCCCCAAGGACUGGUAGUACAAAUCAUGAGUUUCUAAGAUUUAGAGUUUACAAAGCUAGUAUGAAAUAAAUACAUCAUAUGUUCGAAAUAUACAUGAACAGAUUUAUAAAUCUAAAGCUACCAAGAACAAGAGGCAGUUAUAGCCGGAAAGCAGGUACAUCUUCAAUGCCAGCUCCCGCCAUACACAGCAACAUCAACCCUAAAAUCUGCAAGCAAGGUGCAGAAGUGUAGUAUGAGUACAACCGAGCCCAUGUACUCAAUAAGUAACAAACUAAAUCUUAGGUUGAAAGUAGUGACGAGCUCGAGAGAAGGUCAGAGUCCAACACCAAAGGCCAAGAACAACUUGUAACAGUAUAAUAAAAACAGUGCAAGUAAUAACUCAAAGAUAUUAUGUUCAGCUCGUUCACAGUUAUGGAAAAUAGACAUGCUUUUCAGGUAUAAUAGUAAAACCCAAAUCUUUCACCGAAAUCACCAGAAUAUGAGUAUAUCAGGAAACUAUGAUUUUUCCCAAAACCUUUCAACAACCGAUAAGAUAUUUUAUUAUCAGAUAGCAUGAGGAAAGUACAUCUCUAUGCCUACAUGUCAAUAUGCAUGUCAAGUCAUGAAUGUCACAAUACCUUAUAGCAUGAGAAAAUGCAUCUCUAUGCCUACAUGCCAAGUAUGCAUCACAGUGAUAAGCUCAUGUACUCACACUCUCAGAGUACUCAAUCACUCUGUCUCACACUCCCACUCGUCACACUCAAUCACUCAGCAGACUCAAUCACUCAGCACUGUACGGUACCUGCGCUCACUGCUGAUAUGUCAUACUCCGGAGAGGAGGAUCCUGCCCAAGCGCUAAUAUAAGCCAACAUGGCAUGUUGCGGUGUGCAGCCUGAUCCCAUAAUUAGUCAAUAAAGCCUAAUGUGACGUGCAACCUGAUCUCGUAAAUAACUACUACGGCGUGUAGCCAGAUCCCAUAAAUGUUACUCACAAUUCGGCCUUCAGGCCCCAACUCAGUCAUCAAUCUCUCCAGUAUCUCGGGCUCACAAAUCUCAUGCCAAUCAGUCCAAACAAUGAUAACAUGAUGUAACAACAAAUGAUAACAGAGACUGAAGUAUGAUAUGCAAAUGAAUGAAUAUGAUUGAGUAUAUAAUUACAAUUUAAGCAAAUAAUUCAAAAGUAGAGAUGACCUCAGUGGGUCCCAACAUAAUAAGUAUAUAGCCUAAACAUGAUUCACAGCUCAAAAUCAAACAAGUUAACAAGAUAUAACAGCAAAACAAGUCCGAUCAUAGUCUAAUAGUCAACUAUAAUCAUGAUUUUUCCGAUGCACGCCCACACCCUCGUCACCUAGCAUGUGCGUCACCGUAAUACAUCUCUUAUAACAUAGUUCCCAGAAAUGAAUCGAUGUUCAACCAAACUAAUUUCACUCAAAUCCGACUCUGAAUCGAUGUUCAAAGCUCAAAAAUUCACUUUAGGAAAGUUUAGACAAAAUUCCCCAAUUUUACUUUAAAAUUUAUAAUCCAAAUGCUAAAAUCGAAGAUAGGUUCAUGAAAUAUAAUCAAAAGCAUUUGCCUUCCUUGCUGGAUGUGGACUGUAAUUCAUCCUCAACUAGAUAGAAGGACUUCAUCUUUCUUCUUCUUCCUGAAAUGAAAUGAAGAGAAAGAAGGUGCCCGGCCCAAAAGACUGGUGAAAAAAGCUCUUUUUUUUGGUCAAGACCUUUUGUUGAACUCGAGUAGAAAAUACUUACCCAGUCCAUAUGGUAAAAAUCGCCUCCAAAAUCGCUCAAAUCCGAGCUAUAUAGCUCAAAAUAUGAUAAAAUGACCAAGACCUUCGAAAUAGAGUACUUUAUACACUGUUCCAGAGGUACCCUUUGCGAUCGUGGUCACUAACCUCGCGAUCGUGAUUCAAUAAUUUUCUAGCACACAUUUUACCCUUCGCGAUCACGUCCAUUUCCCCGCGAUCGCGAUAAAUAAAUUUCCAUUACCAUUCCCAAACUCUUCUCAGACAUCCUAUAGUACAUCAACUAUAACUUUUUGUACAAAACUCCAAAUGACAAACUAUUUGAUUCUCUGAAAACUAAACACAAAGGGCUACAACUUUUAAUUUUGGAUCAUCUCCAAAUUCCUUAUAUAUUGCAAGAUAUAAGCUUUCAAAAUCGAGUGAGUGACAACAUAAUUUUCUUCUACGCGAUCGCGAAAAGGCUUCCACGAUCACCAUUCACAGUGCCAAAAAUAGCAAUUUGCUCUUCGCGAACGCGGCCCAAAGUCCACGAUCGUGAUGCAUACCCCUAUGGCCAAAAAUUAACAACUAAAAAUGGCCUAGAAAUGGUCCGAAACCACCCCGAAACUCACCCGAGCCCUUCGAGACCCCGUCCGAACAUACCAACAAGUCUCAAAACAUAUUACGGACCUACUCGAGGCAUCAAAUCACACAUAUUAACAUCAAAAUCACGAAUCGUCAAUCAAGAUCAAUCUCUUAAGUUCAUAAAUUUCAAACUUCGAACCAAGCGUCCGAUUCAAGCCUAACCAAUCCGGAAUGAAUUCAAAUUUUGCAUACAAGUUUCAAAUGACAUACGAACCUAUUCCAACUCCCGGAACAACAAUAUGAACCCGAUAACAUCGAAGUCAACUCCUGGUCAAACUUACAAACAUUCCAAAUCUUUAAAUUUUUAACUUUUGCCAAAUAAUGUUGAAACCUUCUAGAAACACCCGAAUGCAAAUUCGGGCAUACGCCCAAGUCCAAAAUCGCCGUCCGGACCUAACGGAACCAUCAAAACUUCAUUCCGGGGUCAAGUAUACAAAUGUCAAACUUGAUCAACUCUUCCAACUUAAAGCUUCAAACAUAAAAUUUAUUCUUCCAAACUAAUUCUGAAUCACCCAAAGACCGAAACCGACGAUACACACAAGUCAUAAUACAUCAUACGGAGCUACUCAUGCCCUCAAACCACCGAGCGAAGUGCAAAUACUUAAAACGACCGGUCGGGUCGUUACAUGAAGAAGCAAAACAGGGCGAAAAAAUAUAGUACAUGUUUAUUAGCUCAUGGACGUAAAACAAAAAUAAAGAAAGUCAUCAAAAUCACAAAAUGUAGAGUCCCGUAUGCACAAAGUGAAGAAUGAAAUUACUUCACCGUUAAUAACAACAAAAAGGAAAAACUAAACGCAAACUAUAAGAAUAAAUGAAUAUCCUAUUCUUAAUAAUGACUAAAGGCAUUACGUUGAUACCCAAAAUUUCGCUAAAUUUCUAAUGAUGUUCAAUACAUAAAAGCAUUAUAGGAAAGCUAGAAAAGGAAGGAGGGUAUCUUAAAAUUGAGUAAGACAUACAAAAAGAUAUGAGAAAAUGUUUAUUUGUAAAAAAUAAAACUUAUGGUGCAACCUUGAGAUGAAUUUGGAACAAACAUAAUUGAAGUUUACCUGGAUGGAGGCAAAAUGCUUUUGUUAAUUAAUAGUUCAGAUGAAACUUUAUUUCUAACCAUUUCAGCACACAACUUUAUAGCUUUAUCAUGCAUCUGCGGCCACAUAAACAAUUAGCGUAGAUGACAAACUCAACAUAAUAAUAUUCCAAAUUCGCUAGAACUAUCAUCUAAAAAACUCGGUCGUGCUUUGCAAUAGUUUUUAUCACCUUGCCGUCAUGAAAUGUUACUGUCAAAAGUUUCAACUAUUGUUAAAUCAAAAUUCACAAUUUCUAAGAAUUGCCAUACUUUUUCCCUUGAUGACCUAAAAGGAAAAAAAACAAAAACAAAAAUCCUGUUUUUUUACCUUACAGUCAUGAAACGUAACGUCAAAAGGUCCUACUAUUGUUAAAAUAAAAUCGACAAAUUUGGAGAAUUACCAUACUUUGUCCCUUGAUGACCUCAAAAAACAAAAAUCCUCUCUUUCAUAUUGCCGCCAGCCUUGCUUUUCCCUUUUCAUUGCCCAUUUAAUCCAAAUAGCCUGAAAGAGAGGAAAAGACGUAAUUAUUAUUUUUUUAACGGAAAAGGCAUAACUGUUAAAAAACCGAAGAAGAAGAAGAAGAAACGUCACAAGUGUAAUUAAGAGUUACUAAUAUAUAGCACAUAAAUAGAUAAAUAUGGGGAAAAUGGCAAAAAAGGAGAAAAAAGAUAAAGAGGGUUUAGUUUUCAUAGCCACGUCACCGUCCUUAAGGCAGCAUUCAUAAAUAUAUAUAUAUAUAUAUAUAUAUAUAUAUAUAUACUAGAUAAGUUUAGUCCGUGCAAAA